rnacentral:rRNA from 3 species
AACUUUCAACAACGGAUCUCUUGGUUCUGGCAUCGAUGAAGAACGCAGCAAACUGCGAUAAGUAAUGCGAAUUGCAGAAUUCAGCGAGUCAUCGAAUCUUUGAACGCACAUUGCGCCCGCCAGCACUCUGGCGGGCAUGCCUGUCCGAGCGUCA